ensembl:snoRNA U3 Small nucleolar RNA U3
AAGACUAUACUUUCAGGGAUCAUUUCCACAGUUUGUUACUAGAGAAGUUUCUCUGAAUAUGCAGAGUUUAAAAAAAAAAAAAU